rnacentral:tRNA from 1 species
GGGCCUGUAGCUCAGUCUGGUAGAGCAGCGGACUUUUAAUCCGCGGGUCGCGGGUUCGAAUCCCGCCGGGCUCA